CACUUCAUAAAGUUUACUUUAAGAAGUGACUUAGUGGCGGACGGGUGAGUAACGCGUGGGUAACCUGCCUUACACAGGGGGAUAACAGUUAGAAAUGACUGCUAAUACCGCAUAAGCCCACGGAUCCGCAUGAAUCUGCGGGAAAAGGAUUUAUUCGCUUCAGGAUGGACUCGCGUCCAAUUAGCUAGUUGGUGAGGUAACGGCCCACCAAGUCUACGAUCAGUAGCCGGACUGAGAGGUUGAACGGCCACAUUGGGACUGAGAUACGGCCCAGACUCC
rnacentral:rRNA from 1 species